UAAUACAGAGGGUGCAAGCGUUAAUCGGAUUUACUGGGCGUAAAGCGUGCGUAGGCGGUUCGUUAAGUCGGUUGUGAAAGCCCUGGGCUCAACCUGGGAAUUGCGGCCGAUACUGAUGGACUAGAGAACGGUAGAGGGAGGCGGAACUCCAGGUGUAGCGGUGAAAUGCGUAGAUAUCUGGAAGAACACCGAUGGCGAAGGCAACCUCCUGGGCCUGUUCUGACGCUGAGGCACGAAAGCGUGGGUAGCAAACAGGAUUAGAUACCCUGGUAGUCCACGCUGUAAACGAUGAGAACUUGACGUCGGGUCGCUUAGCGAUUCGGUGUCGAAGCUAACGCGCUAAGUUCUCCGCCUGGGGAGUACGGCCGCAAGGUUG
rnacentral:rRNA from 1 species